UACCCUAAAGCAGAAGAUGAAUUUUAAAGCAUAUGAUUUGAAAAGAAAAUACUUAACCCGUGUAGCAAUUUAAGUGCCAAAAAAAUAAAAAAGAGAGAGAGGAUGAGUAGGCAACAGCAUCAAAGUUAAUGCUACAAAACGUAUUAAGUAGUCAUGAGGCUUAACAGCAUUAUAAACUGUGAAGUGAUAGAUGAUAAUUUAGUUAAUGUAUUGACAAUCAAAACAUCAUAUAGGUCAUGCAAAAUUGUCCUUCGAAUGAAUACCCACCUAUAAGCAGCUAUUAAACACUCAGUCAUCUUGUAAAAAGCUUUACAUUAUAAAGCAAAAUUACAUGCACAUAAAACACCCAAUUUACUCAUUUAAACUCUAUGCCCAAGGCUAAAGUUCACCAAACCUGAGUUUGGAUUUGCAAAGAGCAACCUCCGCGGGGCCUGCUGGACAGACUGCAUGG
rnacentral:lncRNA from 1 species